rnacentral:misc_RNA from 1 species
GGCGGCGGUGGUUGCGAUUCAUUCCGGGGUUCUUUGAGAAGUGGUGUUGCUGUAACUGCGGAGGUGCGUUGAGAAUUCUUUCUUCUUGUAGUAGUGGUGGGAGCGGAUGCAGAAGGAAUUAAGGGAAAAUAAGACUGUGCUGGGCAAGUGAGGGCAUAGUUAAACCCAGUGCCUAUCGCAGAUAACUCCAUUUCUGGUCUCUGUAGUUCAGAGAC